rnacentral:rRNA from 1 species
AGUGAACGCUGGCGGUAGGCCUAACACAUGCAAGUCGAACGGCAGCACAGUAAGAGCUUGCUCUUACGGGUGGCGAGUGGCGGACGGGUGAGGAAUACAUCGGAAUCUACUUUUUCGUGGGGGAUAACGUAGGGAAACUUACGCUAAUACCGCAUACGACCUACGGGUGAAAGCAGGGGAUCUUCGGACCUUGCGCGAUUGAAUGAGCCGAUGUCGGAUUAGCUAGUUGGCGGGGUAAAGGCCCACCAAGGCGACGAUCCGUAGCUGGUCUGAGAGGAUGAUAAGCCACACUGGAACUGAGACACGGUCCAGACUCCUACGGGAGGCAGCAGUGGGGAAUAUUGGACAAUGGGCGCAAGCCUGAUCCAGCCAUACCGCGUGGGUGAAGAAGGCCUUCGGGUUGUAAAGCCCUUUUGUUGGGAAAGAAAGGCAGCAGGUUAAUACCCCGCUGUUCUGACGGUACCCAAAGAAUAAGCACCGGCUAACUUCGUG